rnacentral:misc_RNA from 1 species
GAUGAAGAACGUAGCGAAAUGCGAUACGUAAUGUGAAUUGCAGAAUUCAGUGAAUCAUCGAAUCUUUGAACGCAUAUUGCGCUCUUUGGUAUUCCGAAGAGCAUGCUUGUUUGAGUAUCAGUAAACACCUCAACCUCUUCUUGAUUUUUCAAAAGGAGGGCGGACUUGAGCUAUCCCAACAACCUUUACCGGUCGGCGGGCGGCUUGAAAUGCAGGUGCAGCUGGACUUUUAUCUGAGCUAAAAGCAUAUCUAUUUAGUCCUCGUCAAACAGGAUUAUUACUUUUGCUGCAGCUAACAUAAAGGAUAAUUGUCCUCUUUGCUGACUGAUGCAGGAUUUUACGACACUUUAUGUGUUGUUCAACUCGAUCUCAAAUCAAGUAAGACUACCCGCUGAACUUAAGCAUAUCAAUAAGCGGAGGA